rnacentral:tRNA from 1 species
GGUAAAAUAUUUUAUUUAGAAAAAUUAGUUUGCAACUAAAAAGAAGUUUACUCUUUUUACCU